GGAUUAGAUACCCUGGUAGUCCACGCCGUAAACGAUGAGAACUAGGCGUUGGGUUGUUUAGACAACUUAGUGCCGAAGCUAACGCGUUAAGUUCUCCGCCUGGGGAGUACGGCCGCAAGGCUAAAACUCAAAGGAAUUGACGGGGGCCCGCACAAGCGGUGGAGCAUGUGGUUUAAUUCGAUGCAACGCGAAAAACCUUACCUACCCUUGACAUCCUUGGAAUCUUCUAGAGAUAGAAGAGUGCCUUCGGGAGCCGAGUGACAGGUGCUGCAUGGCUGUCGUCAGCUCGUGCCG
rnacentral:rRNA from 1 species